GAAUGCAGCAGUAGCAAAAAAAGUGACAACGAAAACCUUUAUAAACUGCAAAUAGUGAUUCAUUGUCCUGUAUUGGCACAGAUCUCCAUUUGCUUGUAUCCAUGUCAGCCCCAAUAAUCAUUUAUGAUUAGAAACUAGAUAAGCUUCCUUUAACUGGACGCAUUGUAUAGCUUUUAAGAGGAUCAUGUUUAGCUACCUAUUCCCUGAACGCAAAAU
rnacentral:misc_RNA from 1 species